AGUGAACGCUGGCGGUAGGCCUAACACAUGCAAGUCGAACGGCAGCACAGUAAGAGCUUGCUCUUACGGGUGGCGAGUGGCGGACGGGUGAGGAAUACAUCGGAAUCUACUUUUUCGUGGGGGAUAACGUAGGGAAACUUACGCUAAUACCGCAUACGACCUACGGGUGAAAGCAGGGGAUCUUCGGACCUUGCGCGAUUGAAUGAGCCGAUGUCGGAUUAGCUAGUUGGCGGGGUAAAGGCCCACCAAGGCGACGAUCCGUAGCUGGUCUGAGAGGAUGGUCAGCCACACUGGAACUGAGACACGGUCAAGACUCCUACGGGAGGCAGCAGUGGGGAAUAUUGGACAAUGGGCGCAAGCCUGAUCCAGCCAUACCGCGUGGGUGAAGAAGGCCUUCGGGUUGUAAAGCCCUUUUGUUGGGAAAGAAAAGCAGCAGGUUAAUACCCCGCUGCUCUGACGGUACCCAAAGAAUAAGCACCGGCUAACUUCGUG
rnacentral:rRNA from 1 species